rnacentral:rRNA from 1 species
GGAAUCUUCCACAAUGGGCGAAAGGCCUGAUGGAGCAACGCCGCGUGUGUGAUGAAGGGUUUCGGCUCGUAAAACACUGUUGUAAGAGAAGAAUGACAUUGAGAGUAACUGUUCAAUGUGUGACGGUAUCUUACCAGAAAGGAACGGCUAAAUACGUGCCAG